CGACAAAUUUGACAUUGAUUAUACUGAUUUUCAGAAAAAUAUGUAUUACUGAAAUGCAUUGAGUAAAUUGUUUUUUUCCGAAAAUCAGUACAAACAUGUCAUUUAUGCUGAAAAUCAGUAUAAUAUUCUUUUACUUAACCGUUUUAGUGAAAAACUUUACUGAAGCAAGAUGAGAAAAUUUGCUGUGUAUAUACAAAACAAAUUAAUGGUUUUUCUUUUUAGCAAGCUUUCGUCUAAAAAGGAUAAACAGGAUUUGAUCCAACUUGUAUCGGGGCACCCUAUGCUCUGGCAGACCAAUCAUAACUUCUAUAAUAAUAGAAUACAGACUGCCGGAGCAUGGGGGGAAUUAGCCAGGCAUCUGGCGACCACCGUGGCCAGAUGCCAGAAUAUUUGGCACCAGCUCCGGUACAAGUACCGAGCGAUAAGGGUACGUGAGCUGGCAGCGAUAGAAGAAACUGGAUAUCCCCCUACGCCUCCUAAGUGGCACCGGUACAGGCCAUUCAGCUUUCUGCGGAAAAUAGUUGAUAAGUCGCUGAGAGCGAAUGGUGUGGUAUGAAGAUAGAACGCUCAUAAACAAAUGUGAUGGGGCCUCCAAUUGCCUCUUCUACGCUGCGACCCACAGCAGAAUAGGAGAGCGCCGCUGCGGAGAGAAGGCAAGAGAUUGCAUUCGGAGGCGCCCAUUUUGAACGAAUCUGCUGAUGCCGAGUAAGGAUACACACACACGCUGCAGGUGGUUCGACGGGGGAAGGUUUCAAUCGUGGAAGAUGGACCGGUUGGGUGUUUGAAGCGGAUAGGUCUCGGGACACGGCAGCUGGCUACGCCGUUUUAAGCUCGUUUAAGAAUAACUAAUAUACCGGAGGCAAUUGUCCUGAGAGCGAAAUCCAACGUUACAUGAUGUAUUUGAAAAUAGCGCCGAAGUCCUAAAAAUGUUAAGCAUAAUUUAAAAAAAAGUGUAAAAAUUGCAUUAUCUGUACUUCGUAUGCACAGCGCACAUUAAAUAUAUUUCUUCAUUAAAAUCAAUAUCAGGGGGUUACUGCGAUAGCUCCCCAUUCAAAAAAAAAGAACAAAAUAAAACAAAAUAAUGCACCCCAACCCCCCGCCGUGCAUCAACCAAGUAGGCAGGGGGCAUCACUUACAACGUGUUUUGUGGACAACCUGUGUCCAUGUGUACAAAACGGGGACGGGGAAAAUGACACACACACAACACGGGGUGUGCGUUGUUUCGCAAACAGCAAACGAACGCGAAAAU